AGUUAAAAAGCUCGUAGUUGGAUUUCGGAAUGGGCCAGUUGGUCCGCCUCACGGUGUGUUACUGGCUGGUCUGUUCUUCUUCGCAAAGACUGCGUGUGCUCUUUACCGAGUGUGCGUAGGAUUUACGACGUUUACUUUGAAAAAAUUAGAGUGUUCAAAGCAGGCCUACCGCUUGAAUACAUGAGCAUGGAAUAAUGGAAUAGGACUUUGGUCUUAUUUUGUUGGUUUCUAAGACCGAAGUAAUGAUUAAGAGGGACAGUCGGGGGCAU
rnacentral:rRNA from 1 species